rnacentral:rRNA from 1 species
AUUGAACGCUGGCGGCAUGCUUUACACAUGCAAGUCGAGCGGUAACAGGCCGCAAGGUGCUGACGAGUGGCGAACGGGUGAGUAAUGCAUCGGAACGUGCCCAGUCGUGGGGGAUAACGCAGCGAAAGCUGUGCUAAUACCGCAUACGAUCUAUGGAUGAAAGCGGGGGACCGUAAGGCCUCGCGCGAUUGGAGCGGCCGAUGUCAGAUUAGGUAGUUGGUGGGGUAAAGGCUCACCAAGCCAACGAUCUGUAGCUGGUCUGAGAGGACGACCAGCCACACUGGGACUGAGACACGGCCCAGACUCCUACGGGAGGCAGCAGUGGGGAAUUUUGGACAAUGAGCGCAAGCCUGAUCCAGCAAUGCCGCGUGCAGGAAGAAGGCCUUCGGGUUGUAAGCUGCUUUUGUACGGAACGAAAAGGUUUGGGUUAAUACCCUGGGCCGAUGACGGUACCGUAAGAAUAAGCACCGGCUAACUACGUGCCAGCCGCCGCCGUAA